GAGCUGGCGGAGGUGAGAAGAGCGGCGGCGGGCAAGAUCCGGAUCGGGCAGGAGGGUGGGGGUGAGAUUCGUAGGAGAGGAGGAGGAGCGAGGAGGGCUCUGGUCUAUUUUUUUCGUUUUUUGUGCGGCACGUGUUUUUUCUGCGCUUGAGGACCGCGGGAGCCGGGAUUAAAAGACACGUGGGGACAUCGAUGGCAGAUUCGUAAUUUCGGUGAAGUGACGUACCGCGACGCCCGUACCAUCACCACCAACUCCAAUUUAAUAUAUUUAGACGCUUUUUAAGAAUACAUACAUCCAUAUUUGGGUAAAUUUGAGUCAAGAAUUUAGGAUAAGAGGAAUAGUUGUUAGAGCUGAUUUAGUGGGCCUAAUUGUUUGGUAAUUGUGAGGUAGGAACGGUUUGUGUACGUUUUGUGGGGUGGCUUUAAAAAAGGAAAUGUUGGUGCAUUUAUAAAUAAUAGAGAUAGAGAUUUGUCGUCCAGAGCGUCGCUGCGAGAUUAAUGUCA
rnacentral:lncRNA from 1 species